rnacentral:rRNA from 1 species
UACGAAGGGGGCUAGCGUUGUUCGGAAUCACUGGGCGUAAAGCGCUCGUAGGCGGCUCGUUAAGUCAGAGGUGAAAGCCUGGAGCUCAACUCCAGAACUGCCUUUGAUACUGGCGAGCUCGAGUAUGGCAGAGGUUGGUGGAACUCCGAGUGUAGAGGUGAAAUUCGUAGAUAUUCGGAAGAACACCAGUGGCGAAGGCGGCCAACUGGGCCAUUACUGACGCUGAGGUGCGAAAGCGUGGGGAGCAAACAGG